AUUGCCUCAUAGAGAUUCUGUCCAAUUUCACUGCCACAACACAGGGAAGUAGAACAAAGGGGGAUCGAACAUGAAAGUUUUCUACUAUUAUGUUAUAUUCACAUCUUUUUUUGUUUCAGGCAAGAUGGAGAGUAUUUGAGCGGUCAAAUAGAGGAUAUGAGAAGAAAAAAAGAAUAACUUCUAUGUGGAAAAGCACAAAUAAUAAUAUGAUCCAAGGAGGAGAACAGAAAGCUCAGGAAGAGAUCUACAUGUGGCAGAAACUUGACCUGUGACAGUGGUGGCAUUCAGAUCACUGGAGAAAGGAUGCUGGGACAACUGAUUAGGCGUACUCUUACUGUGUUCACUUUGGAAGAGCUGGAAAGCAGCUAGGGGGCAGACAUCAGUACAAUAUACUCCUUUUCUGAAAACUAUCCCCCAUAUCAGCUUUUGUUUUCUAACUUUAUAACUGCAAGCAUACAUUUGGUUUGCUUCUUUUCUUUUUUUUCUUCCCAGGGCAUUUCCAACUUUUUGCCUAUUUUUCACAUUUUCUUAGGAAACAUUUUCUGUGAAAUUCCAACACAAGACACAUGACUUCUAAGUAGUGCUAAGAAAACUAAGAGGAUUAGUUUAUACAACUAGACAUUUCCAAAAUAAGAAAGUUAGCAAGAUAUUGACCAAACUACUCAAGAAAGGCAGUGUAAAAAUGUGUAGGCACUUUCUGUUUCCCCUGGAGCAACUUCUAGAGUACCUUGAACAUUCUAGGUGUUUAAUGAAUGCCUGGUACACUGUUACUCUAUAAUAAAAGUAGAUUUUAGUCUGAAUUCUCUAGUAGAAUGAAGGGCCUUUCAGGCAACAUAUUUAAUCUCUUUAUCUAAAAAGAAAUUCUGACUCCAAGCUAUCAUUUGGAACUUACUGUUACAAAGUGUUCCCAGGGUAUCAUAAUCUUCCAAGGAGUCACAGACCACUCGCCAUUGAGAAAAGACAGAGUUUGGGCUUAUUAGAGUGGAAUCAAAGU
ensembl:lncRNA LURAP1L-AS1 LURAP1L antisense RNA 1